rnacentral:lncRNA from 1 species
GCAACAGAUUGGAUAUAAGAGUUGAGAGAUGGUGAAGAAUCCAAGAUGACUCCUAGGUUGUGAGAUUGAAGGACUAGGAGAAUGGUGUUGCCUUCUACAGUAAUUGUGAAGGUAGAAGAGGAAAGGGGAAGUUGUAAAAGGAAAGAUAAUAAGUUCUGUUUGGGCCAUGUUGAAUUUAAGAUAUCUACGGGACAUCCAGUUCAAGAUGUUUGAAAGGCAAUUGGAGGUUCAAGAUUGGAGAUGAUGAAGAAGUCGGCAUCUUUCUGAGGAUGCUAAAGGAAAAGAGAAGACUUUGCUGGUAUAUUCGGUCAAUUACACCUGCCUUUCCCAUCUGUGCAGGAGAAGAGUUCACACCACUCAGUUUGUUAUAUUUCUGAAAGUGUGAGGGAACUAAGAGGCUAUGAUGUGAAGUCCAUCAGUGGCUCAUAAAUAUGAAAGUCCUUGGGAACCAACAAAGAUAUGAUCACCCUAUGCAAGAGUAUUAUUGCUAUUCAUCAGAGGUUCUUGGGUUUUUUUUAACUGUGUCUAGACGUGUAACAGGAGAAAAGAGAAGACAUUUUUGCAUAAUUUCUGCU